GAAAAUAACCUGAAACAGUUUCACUGGAUAAAACCGGAAGGGAAAUGGAACUGCGAGGUGCGCGUUGCUAGUUGCAUCCGUGCGGACUCUGUUCAACUAUGUGCAAACACGUCAGGAAGGUCAUUGUGCGUGGCCGAUAUCGCGACGACAUUAAGGGAAAAUGCACACGACGUCUCGUUUGUAGCUGUCGACACGACAGGAUCACGCUUAAACCCCCCAGAUGCAUCCUGUGAAAAUCAAGGAAGGAGAGAGGUGGCAAUGCACCCGGCGUCGCGUCGAGAUACUUUGAGAAAUAUUGGAUUCGACGUAUUUCACCGACAAAACGACGCCAAAUCUCAAUAUGGCUGGUAA
rnacentral:misc_RNA from 1 species